rnacentral:lncRNA from 1 species
AUCAUUUAUAUUUUUUUUCUGAUAAUUUUAGUAUAUAGAAACUCUUUAUUCCGAAUUGAUUUGAUUUGCCUUUUAUCGUUUUAGUUUCCUAGUUUUAAAAAUAGGAAACAAAUCACUUUUAUUAGGAAACUCCAGGUGGCCCAUUAAGACUUUCCUUUUCUCUUGCCCAACAAGAUCAUCUCCUACCUCUCCUCUCUUCC